UUUAUUGAAUCUCUUGUAAUUGCUUUUAUAUUAAUAAUGUUGGUUUUCCAACUAUGACGAUAAACGAAUUUCGUAAUAACCAUUGCGGACGUGGGGGCAGUACCCACCACCUCCACCAUACAACUUAUGGGGGUGAACUAGAUUCGACGGGUGACUAAAGGCUAUUCUUUUGUUCGGGAUUGUUCCACCGUGACGGGCUAAUUUAUAAUUGCUAACGAAAGUUACGCACUUGCUGCCUAAUUAACUUUGUUAAUUAAGUAGACGGGGUCCGGGGCACCUGGCAACAGAACGCCCCCUUC
rnacentral:tmRNA from 1 species